UACGUAGGGUCCGAGCGUUGUCCGGAAUUACUGGGCGUAAAGAGCUCGUAGGCGGUCUUGUCGCGUCGUCCGUGAAAACCUCGCAGCUCAACUGCAAGCUUGCGGUCGAUACGGGCAGGCUAGAGUUCGUGAGGGAGACGUGGAAUUCCUGGUGUAGCGGUGAAAUGACGCAGAUAUCAGGAGGAACACCGGUGGCGAAG
rnacentral:rRNA from 1 species